rnacentral:rRNA from 1 species
UACGUAGGGGGCAAGCGUUGUCCGGAUUUAUUGGGCGUAAAGGGCGUGUAGGCGGUCAGGUAAGUGGAAUGUGAAAGCCCUCGGCUCACCCGAGGAUCUGCAUUCCAAACUGCCUGGCUUGAGUAUGGGAGAGGAUGAGGGAAUUCCUGGUGUAGCGGUGAAAUGCGUAGAUAUCAGGAGGAACACCGGUGGCGAAGGCGCUCAUCUGGCCCAAUACUGACGCUGAGGCGCGAAAGCUAGGGGAGCAAACGGG